ACCAGGAUGGCCGAACGGUUAAGGCGUUGGACUUAAGUUCCAAUGUACAAAGGUACGCGUGGGUUCGAACCCCACUCCUGGUA
rnacentral:tRNA from 2 species